CUCUUCCCAAAAAAAAUUAUCAAAUUUGGGCCGACAUCAAAUCACAUCCAAUUUAAAAUUAUAGGUGUGAUCGGGUUGGAUUGUGAGACAUUCUCAACCUAACUCAUAUUUUCGAGUUAUUUAAUUUCCAACCAGUAAAAUAUGGGAGUUGUUGUCCAUGUGUAGGGUCAAAAAGCAACCACUAAGUAAAGCUAUUUUACUUUUCAAAUUUUCUUCUUUAUCUCUUUUGAAUGUGAAAUUGGUAAAGUUAAUUAAUCUCUCUUUCUUUUCCUCCUUACUUUGCUUCUUGAACCGAAGCAAUUCCAUAUAAAUACUCAAGCUUUCUCUCCCUAUUGUCUAUGUCUAUUUUGUGAUUUUUGAUUGAAGAUAGAGAUGAUGAUGAAGAUGGAAGAGAAGAAGAAGAAUCAACCCAGGAAAUUUUUAAAGUGGUUUGGUUAUAAACAAUCACAUCCAAGGGACUUGAGAGCAAGAUUUUAUUAAGAGAAAUUUUAGCAAUGGAUACCAGGGCAACCUUGACAUCCCGAUAAGCUUGAGCAAGUUUCUCUCCAACUGUUCUACUUGAUGAAUCACUACUUUUUUCAUGUUGAACCUUCAUAUUCUCUAUGUAUGCAAAAAGAAGAAGAGAGAAAGUAGAGUAAAUAAACAUCUUUGGCCUCCAUAUUUAUAGCCAAAGAAAAAGGCAGGUUUGCCUUUUCUCUUUUCUUCUUUAAUAUAACUUCUGCCCCUUACCUUAGUCCAAGUGUUGCUCUCUAAUUGCAAAUCAAAAUAUUCUUUAAUUUGUGAGUGGAUUGUGAGGGUGAUGUGUUGUUAUAUGACUACACUAUAGCAAGUAGUGGAAUAUUAGUUUCAAUUAUAAAUUAUUCCUCCUCUAUAAUCAUAAUCAUAUAUGUAAACUUUUCAUUUUUUUUGGA